AUUCUUUUUACACUUUUUAAUGGUUUUUCAAUUUUAUGACAUUAUAACUCCCAGAGCAGUGAAUGAAUUUCCACACUCAAAAUAAUCCAAACGUUAUUGCCACGUGAAAAACCACGUAAAUACCUAGAAAUGAACUUUCUCUUCAGUUUACCUGACAAAGGUAACAGUUACCGAUCGCUAAAUAAUAUUGAACUGCAGUUCCGAUAAUUAUGACUGUGGUUGACCUAUCGCACCUAUGUGAAAACUAGGUACAUGCUUUAAUUCAUUCUGUUCGGCUUCAUUUCACGAUUCAUUCUGUGCUGCAGCAAAGUUUAAAGAUGGCCGCUAUUGUAAACAAACUUUAAGAUUUGGUGGCGUUCAAUUUUUACAAAACUAAUUUGAUAAUUUGGAAGGUUGGUUGGAUUAUAUAUAUAUGUAUAAUUUACUUUAACUUAUUAACUCGUUGUUUUACAGGGCCUUUUCGAAUUAUAAUCUCGUGGUGCGGCGUCGACCUAGAGAAGACAAUUUGGGUAGACUAGAACACAACGUGGAACAAAAACAUUUUAUAAUUUGAUGAAAAGUAGCUAAAGGAUUUCCCGACGGCGACUACUAGGAGAGGCUUUCGUCCUCUCCUGCAACUAUCGUGACAAAACUUGUACCACGAUCAUCCACCAAAAACGCGUGUAAUUUGGGUUUCCAGUUUGCCUUACUUCAGUAAACAUUUCGACAAUGAUUUUUCAUAAGGGCCUAACUGACUUCAUCGAUUUCUCUUCGUCGACUCUCUCUUGCGCUUAUAACUUGAUCAAAACAAACAAAAUCAUUAUUCUUUUUGUUUCUAUAGCAACAUGUAGUCGUCUUCUUCGCAUUUCAACCAAAAAAUCUUUGGAAAACUCAAUACACAUUCUGUUAUAACACAAAGAGAGGAUCGAUGAAGAGAACUCGAAAAUGUCAGUUAGGCCCAAAUGAAAAAUCAGUGUCGAUUUAUUUAUGUUUAAAAGUUUCGAGCCAUGUGAUGAAAAUGAUAAUUAAAAUAUAGAAGUUUGCAUCAAU